GGGGGACAUCAGGUCAUUGCUUUGAGAAGUCUGAGACUGGGGAGAGCAAUGGUGUAACGAGUGAGCUGCCCUGCAGCCACUGUCUGUGUGCAGUUCCCCACUCCAGGGCAGCUGCAAAGUCACUGUCUAAAACCAACUCCUGCUUUGGCACUGGAGUGUGUGCUGCAGGCAGAGACCCUGCUCCCAGACACUGUUUUCUGCUAGAAUAAAGUACUUGGCCAGAGAUGCUCAAAGUGCAUCCCAGCUCUCUUCUACCUAUGUGCUGCAGGAGGCAGAGUUGCUGGGAACAUAGGAUUUUGUCUUUGAAUGGUGUCCUCUCCCUCUCUACAGGUCGGUUCCUCUCUACUCCAGUUGUAAGGAAGCGCAAAAAGCUGGUGAAUCUUUUCUGGUGGCAGCAGGACCAUCCUUUUGAGAUCCAUCCUUCUGAGCUGCGGCGCCUACAGGAGCUUGCCAAGCAGCAGCAGGAGUCUGAGCAGCAGCAGAAGCAGCAGGAGUCUGAGCAGCAGCAGGAUUCCAAGCAACAGCAGGAUUCCGAGCAGCAGCAGGAUUCCGAGCAGCAGCAGCCACAGGAUUCCGAGCAGCAGCACGAGUCUGAGCAGCAGCAGCCUUCUGCACAAGAGCAGCCUUCUGAGCAGCAGCAGCUUUCUGAGGAGGAGCAGCUGGAUUCCAAGCAGAAGAAGCAUUCCAAGAAGCAUCGCCGCUCCAAAGAACGGCACCUCUCUCAGCAGCAGCAGCAGCAGCCUUCUGAGCAGCAGCAGCCUGAACAACAGCAGCAGCAGUCCGAGCAACAGCAGCAGCAGUCCGAGCAGCAGCAGCAGCAGCCUGAGCAGCAGCAGCAGGAGCAGUCCAAGCAGCAGCAGGAUUCCAAGGAGAAGCAGUCCAAGCAGCAGGACCGUUCCAAGAAGCUACGCCGCUCAAAGCAAAAGCAGCUCUCUCUGGAGCCUGUCAGUUCCUCCCUGGAAAUCUUCCCAGACAUCAUCCAUGAUGUGCCCCUGUUCUCUAUCAACCCCGACCACGGCACCAUCGCUCCUGGCCGGCAGCAGACCUUCCAAGUGCUGUUCUCCCCAAAGUGUGUGGGGAACUUUGAGAUCACCAUGCUGUGCAGCAUUCCUAACCUGGAGCCGAGUCGCAGGAGGGUGCGGGUGAUUCUGAAGGGCAGAGCCCGGGAUCAGAAGAGUUUUGAUAGAGAGAAACGCUCUGCCUUACGGCAGGCAGAGGAAGGCCAGAGACCCAAGAAGCAGGUGCGCUGGCAGCCAACACCCGAGUGAAGGCAUUUGUGUCAGCUGGAGCAUACAGCAGGAGCUGGCAACAUCUUGUUUUUCUGCUGCUGAUGGUCUCCCACCUCCUACCUGAGACCUCUGCAGCCACCCUCCCAAGCUCCAGUGGACACCUCUGAAUUAUCAUUUAACUAACCAGUUGUUAGUUAAUUGGUAAUUAACUAUUAAUCACUCUUCAUUAAAGAGGUGUUCACAGAUCGUUGUCAUCCUGUUUUGAUUGCAAAGACAGGUGUCUGCCUGACCUCUCUGGAAUGGAGAAUGUGACCCCCUUCCCUCCAAAUUAUUAUAACUUUGAAAUUAAGGGCCCUUCAGGCAAAGAUAUGGGAAAAGGAGCAACACUUCUUUACUAGUAUGUGCAACAAGGCAAACAAACAACGCUGGCAGCAACAACAAACAGAACCAAAUACCAAACCACAGCCUUCUCUCGGCUGCAGGCACUUUCCCUUCGGUGUAGUUCCAGUCGCAGCUGGGCAGGGAAGGGAGGCAAAUAAUGAAUAAAGCAAUUGCUGGAGAAAUUUUAAUUAAGCUA
rnacentral:lncRNA from 1 species